AGGCAUAUAAGACUUGACACAGAACAAAACACCCUUCUUUUCUUUUUCUGAAGACGAAUUAUACCGUUUUCGUCAUGAGAAAAUGUACGUAAAGAAGAGAACAUAUAUGGAAAGAAAACAAACUUAUAUGGAUACAUCAUAUCAUGAGGUCAAUGGGGCUUGUACUACAAGGAAUCCAGACACACAGACCCAGCCAGCCAGCCAUGGUUUCAGUGAGGAAACAAACCUUGUUAUGAAUAGAGACAUUUUCAUCAAAUAGUUGAGCAUCCAGUGCAUCUAACGUCUCCCGAUUAUCAUCAUGUGGCUGCUGAAGAAGAGAACCUGAAUCUUGUUUCCCAGGAACAGUUGUGAUGGAGUGAUGUUGACAAGCUGAGCAGCGCACAGAAGUAUAAAAAGAAACCAAUAAGAUCAAACUGAGCUUCACCAAAGGAAACAUAUACGGGUAACUAUAUAUUACAAAUAAAGCUGACAAUAAGGCAGCUUCAUUCUUGCUUGAUCAAUUGACAAGCAACACAAAUACUCCAUAUCCUAAACAACUCUCUCGUGAGAGCAAGUACUGCAUAUAUGUAUUAAAAAUAAUAAUCAAAGAAUAGGAGACAAAGAAGG
rnacentral:lncRNA from 1 species